rnacentral:rRNA from 1 species
GAUGAACGCUGGCGGCGUGCCUAGUACAUGCAAGUCGAGCGAACAGACGAGGAGCUUGCUCCUCUGACGUUAGCGGCGGACGGGUGAGUAACACGUGGAUAACCUACCUAUAAGACUGGGAUAACUUCGGGAAACCGGAGCUAAUACCGGAUAAUAUAUUGAACCGCAUGGUUCAAUAGUGAAAGACGGUUUUGCUGUCACUUAUAGAUGGAUCCGCGCCGCAUUAGCUAGUUGGUAAGGUAACGGCUUACCAAGGCAACGAUGCGUAGCCGACCUGAGAGGGUGGUCGGCCACACUGGAGCUGAGACACGGUCCAGACUCCUACGGGAGGCAGCAGUAGGGAAUCUUCCGCAAUGGGCGAAAGCCUGACGGAGCAACGCCGCGUGAGUGAUGAAGAUCUUCGGAUCGUAAAACUCUGUUAUUAGGGAAGAACAAAUGUGUAAGUAACUAUGCACGUCUUGACGGUACCUAAUCAGAAAGCCACGGCUAACUACGUG